rnacentral:rRNA from 1 species
AUUGAACGCUGGCGGCAUGCCUUACACAUGCAAGUCGAACGGUAACAGGUCUUCGGAUGCUGACGAGUGGCGAACGGGUGAGUAAUACAUCGGAACGUGCCCGAUCGUGGGGGAUAACUACUCGAAAGAGUAGCUAAUACCGCAUACGAUCUACGGAUGAAAGCGGGGGAUCUUCGGACCUCGUGCGGACGGAGCGGCCGAUGGCAGAUUAGGUAGUUGGUGGGAUAAAAGCUUACCAAGCCGACGAUCUGUAGCUGGUCUGAGAGGACGACCAGCCACACUGGGACUGAGACACGGCCCAGACUCCUACGGGAGGCAGCAGUGGGGAAUUUUGGACAAUGGGCGAAAGCCUGAUCCAGCAAUGCCGCGUGCAGGAUGAAGGCCUUCGGGUUGUAAACUGCUUUUGUACGGAACGAAAAGACUCCUUCUAAUACAGGGGGUCCAUGACGGUACCGUAAGAAUAAGCACCGGCUAACUACGUGCCAGCCGCCGCGGUAA